GCGGGAUUAGUAUAGUGGUAGUACGCAACCUUCCCAAGGUUGAGGUGCCAGUUCGAUUCUGGUAUCCCGCUC
rnacentral:tRNA from 1 species